rnacentral:lncRNA from 1 species
UGAGCCAAUACGCCCGGCCUAUUUUUGAGAUUUUCUGCUGCUACUCCAGCUUAGCCUGACAGAGCUUUCACUUUUUGUUCCUACCCCUUCGUGUGCAUCUGAACAAUCCACAAGCCUCACGAACUCCUGUGGCUUCCCUCCCUUCGAGCUGUAUCCACCAUGACCUCUUGACCAGGGCUGAGGGAGAAGGAGGAGGGUCGUGCCACUAUCCUAGCACCCUCUGUCAAGAGCCACAGUCAUCAGAACCAUGGAGUGACUGACUGGAAACUCAGACAACAAGGGAGGCCAGUGAGUAAUGAGAACUGAUUUCUUUGGCUUCAGUGCCUGCUCCUCGCACCUCCACACACCGCCCACAGAGAGAGGACAUGGAAAGGUGAUUUAUGCUGAAUCUGCAAGAUCUUAUCCAUCAGCAAAUCUUGUUGGCUGUACCUUCCAUGUGUAUCCAGAAUUGAACUUUAUAUGACCUUCACUGCCACCACCAAGGUCCAAACAACCAUCACCUCCUGCCUGGAUAGAGUAAGUGACUCCCAACUGUUUUUAUGCCCCAGCUCUUGCUCUACUACUACCUAUUCUCAACACAGCAGCCAGAAAGACCUUGGAAAAAAACUAAAUAAAAUCAUGUCACUCCUCUGCCUUUCCAAUAGCUUGCCACUGCAUACAGAAAAAAAUUCAAAAUCUUUGCUAUGAUUUACAAAGCCCUACACAAUUUAGCACCCCAUUAUGUCUCUGAACCCAUUAUCAACACUACUCUCCCUCUCAUUCUCUCUCUCUCUCUUCCAGCAACAGUGACCUUCUAGCUGUUCCUCAAGGGGGCAGGUACCCCCUUCACCUGAGGGAUCUGCACUUACUGUUCUUGUCACCUAGACCUUCCCAGAUCCGCAUACAGGUCAAUCCCUUACCUUUUUCAGAUCCUGCUUAAAUGCCACUCUCGCACCGAGGACUUCCCUGGCCACUUCCUGUUCACUUCAGCAGCUUUAUUUUUCUCCUUAGCACUAAUCAGUAUCUAAAAUACUAUGUAUUUUACCUGGUUAUUUUGUUUAUUGUCUCCCUCCUCCACUAGAAUGUAAGUUCAAUGAUGGCUAUGA